rnacentral:tRNA from 1 species
UAGAUUGAAGCCCGCUGGAUAGGGUUUUUAGUUGUUAACUAAAGGUUUAUGGGAUCGGGGCCGGUCGAUCUAG